rnacentral:rRNA from 1 species
GACGAACGCUGGCGGCGUGCUUAACACAUGCAAGUCGAACGGAAAGGCCCUGCUUUUGUGGGGUGCUCGAGUGGCGAACGGGUGAGUAACACGUGAGUAACCUGCCCUUGACUUUGGGAUAACUUCAGGAAACUGGGGCUAAUACCGGAUAGGAGCUCCUGCUGCAUGGUGGGGGUUGGAAAGUUUCGGCGGUUGGGGAUGGACUCGCGGCUUAUCAGCUUGUUGGUGGGGUAGUGGCUUACCAAGGCUUUGACGGGUAGCCGGCCUGAGAGGGUGACCGGCAACAUUGGGACUGAGAUACGGCCCAGACUCCUACGGGAGGAAGCAGUGGGGAAUAUUGAACAAUGGGCGGAAGCCUGAUGCAGCAACGCCGCGUGCGGGAUGACGGCCUUCGGGUUGUAAACCGCUUUCGCCUGUGACGAAGCGUGAGUGACGGUAAUGGGUAAAGAAGCACCGGCUAACUACGUG